rnacentral:lncRNA from 1 species
CCGCCCGCGCUCCCCUCUCCCAUUCAUCCUGCCGCCGUAUCGACCCGCGGCCGACCCCGCGCGGCCAGGCGCCCCCGCCCGCUGCCCUCUCCUUUCCCAGCCCGGCCUCCCCCGCGGGGGCUGUCACCGAGCGCCUGGCACGGCCGGGCCAUGCCCCGGGGAAGGAGGGACCAGGGCCGGGGGCGGGAGCCAGCCCUUGUGCUCGCAGCCCUGGGUUCGGAGCCCAGCUGCCCGGGAAGGUUUCCAGAUCUCCCUGAGCCUCAGUUUCCCCAUCUGUAAACUGGGUGGUGGUGGCUUCGUCCCCCGCUUUGAGAGGACAGCAGGAGAGGCGUCCUGAGAAGUGAGUUCGCCUGGAAGCUGCCGGGCUGUAGUUUGCGUUGAUACCACCGAUCUUCCCGGUCACUCUAGGAGACGGGCCAUAUCCCCGUUUUACAAAUGAGGAAACUAACUCAGCGAGGGGAGACGCCGUGUCCAGGGACACACAUGCACAUUUGCGAGCGGGUGAAAAUUUCUGUGAAUGUUUAUAAGCACAUGGAACGGGCAUCUUUGUGGCUGCGGGAGUUGCACGGGUCACUCAUGAGGCCGCCCACGUGGCGCUUGUUGCUUCACCUCUCGAGUAACUGACGGUAUGUUCUGGCCCUCAGCUCUCCCGGGCAGUGUCCAUCACACUCAUGGCUUCCUAGACUUCCAUCUCCGGUCUAAUCACCUUCCGAACGCCAGAACCAUCACGUCUGCUGCCCUUGAACACCUCCCCUAGGUGUCCCUGUGGGCCACCCAGGUUCCCUCCACCCCAGUCUUCCCCACCUGCUUCUCCUUCAUGCUUCCCUCUCAGGGAGUUUGAGACCAGGCUGACCAACAUGGAGAAACCCCGACUCUACUAGAAAUACAAAAUCAGCUGGGUGUGGUGGCGCAUGCCUGUAAUCCCAGCUACUCGGGAGGCUGAGGCAGAAUUGCUUGAGCCUGGGAGGCGGAGGUUGCAGUGAGCCGAGAUUGCACCAUUGCACUCCAGCCUGGGCAACAAGAGCAAAACUCCGUCUCAAAAAAAAAAAAAAAAAAAAAGUAAAAGUAAAAGAAAGUCAAUCACCAAUAAUGCUGGAAUAUGUCAACUUUUCUCCCACCUCUUGCCACUGAUCCAGACCCCAUUCCCUCUGCCCGGGUGAUCCCUUAUAGCUACCCAGGGCUGCGGCUUUGCUCCAUUCAAGCCAUUUUCCACGCAGCAGCAGCCAGGGCCGUCUUUCCAGAGUGUAUUAGGUUGGUGCAAAAGUAACUGUGGUUUUUGCAAUUAAAAGUAAUUGUAGGCCAGGCACAGCGGCUCAUGCCUGUAAUCGCAGCACUUUGGGAGGCUAAGACAGUUGGAUCACUUGAGGUCAGGAGUUCGAGACCCACCUGGCCAACAUAGUGAAACCUGGUCUCCACUAAAAAUACAAAAAUUAGCUGGGCAUGGUGGCACACGCCUGUAAUCCCAGCUCCUGGGGGGGUGGGGGGGCAGGGCUGAGGCAGGAGAGUCGCUUGAACCCAGGAGACGACAGCUGCAGUGAGCUGAGAUCACGCCACUGCACUCCAGCCUAGGCGACAGAGUGACUCUGUCUCAAAAAAAAAAAAAAAAAAGGAAUUGCAAAAACCGCAAUUACUUAAUAGAUCUGACCAAGACUCUCCCCAGGUUCAAACCCCGGCUUCAAACCUUUUGCUCCUUAUAGUCUUUUUUUAAAACUCUUAUCUGUGGCUCAUUGUGUCUCAAGACAGCCAAGCAAACCGAACUGCUAGGAAUUUUCCCAAUGGAACAUUCUCUCUGCAAGUCCUUUGCUCUUGCGGUUGCUCCUCCAGGAGCUCCUGCCUCCCUCUUCUCUUCCCUUCCUUGAGGCUCAGCAUGGGAGAGGCCCUGCUGCAGGUGCCCUCUGACCUCUCAGGUAGGGGAGGGGGCCUCUGUCCUCUGCAAACCUGCGCUGAGUGCUCUGGAUGGUUCCGUCCCUUGGAUUGGGCCUCCCCAAGGGCAAGACCCUGCCUGGUUCACCCUGGCCGCUCAUGCAGAGGCCUGCCUAACAUAGCUGCUGAAUGAAUGAAUGAAUGAAUUGAAUUGAAUAAUGGACAAAGCCCAACAGGGAGGGUUAGCAUAAAGGGGAGACAGG